CGGGGGCGCCCGCCCCGCGCCCCGCGCCCCCGCCCGCGCCCGCGCCCCCGCGCCGCACUCGAUGAAGAAGACGCGGCCGUCCCGGCACACGCCGUAGGACCAGUGCUCAGGCACAGAGGAAAGAUGUGUGAAGACUCUGGGAGAACACAGACAUCUGCAAACCAGGAGGAGAGGCACCUGCUGCUGGCACCUGGAUCUUGGGCUUCUAGCCUCCAGACUGCGAGGGAAUACAUUUCUAUUAUUUAAGCUGCCCAGCCUGAGGUACUUUGUCACGGCAGCCUGAGACAGGCCUGCUUCCAAGGUCUGUUUCCAACAUCAAGGUCACAAGAGCCUUAGCGUGUCCUUGUCGACAGCGGUGGCGCUGAUACUCUCCACCUCGUGCCUAACACAUGUAAGUGCCCGGGACGCCUGGGUGACUCAGCAGUUAAGCGUCUGCCUUCAGCCCAGGGCGCGAUCCUGGAGUCCAGCAUCCAGUCCUGCAUCAGGCUCCCUGCCUGGAGCCUGCUUCUCCCUCUGCCUGUGUCUCCGCC